rnacentral:misc_RNA from 1 species
CCAUUUUCUUGCAAGCCUCUUGCUCUUUUCCCUUGCCCUUGCCCUGGCCUGGCCUGUGGCCAACACUCUGAG